UUUUUUUUUUUUUUUUGCAAAGAAAUGUUGAAGAAGGAAUAAAGUAUCACAAAGAAAUUUUCAAAAAUGAAUUGUGGCUAUGAAGGAGCAUUCUCUUUACCUUUAUUUGUUUUGUUUAUGUUUAUGAUUUAAAGCUAGAUGUAAAGUACUUUUCUUCAUUAUUUGAGCAAUUUAUGUGUGCUAAGUGAUGAAGUUUUUGUUGCUAAUUGCUUAAUUUUUAAUUAUUGUAGGUAGUUGCAUAAUUUUCACUAAAAGAGAUCUUGUUUUCCUUAAAAAAUAUAUGUAUGUUAUGUGUUUUCAAUUUUUUUUCAUUUGAAAGAAAUUGAAUGAAAUGGAAAAUGAAAAUGGGAUAAAAUGGGACAUGGGGCUUUUUAUGUGUUUUUAAAUUUUUUCCUUUUGUCAUUUCAGUUAUGAGUUUUAGUUUAAAGAACAAAUCUAUUGUGGAAGAGUUGUCUUGCAGUUUCGCAAUACUACUAGACCUAUAUGAGACAUGGGACGCCCCCACGUGAAUGGGCUGGUGGUUGGCGCCUCUUCCUCGGGACCGUUAGGUCCUGGGGUCGAACCUCCGCAGCAACAUCAGGUUCUCCGUGCAUUUAACGUGCUAGGUCUGAUUGGGGCGUUGGGCCGGGCCGGAGUGGGAUUAGUCGGGCCGCCUUUACGGAAUUGACCCGGACACCCACUUCGUCGACAAAAAAAAAAAAAAAAAAAUAUGAGACAUGGGACCAAUGAUAGGAUUAAUGGUUAGGAGGGCGGACAUGGGAAUCAUAAUAUAAUUUGAUGGGUUAAUUCUACUUUGUCCCCCCAAACUUUGGACGAUUACUCACUUUAGUCCCUAAACUUCAAAAUAGGACACUUAAGUCCCUAAACUUAUAAAUACCUCCCACUUAAGUCCUUAAACUUAUAAAAUGAGACACUUAAAUCCCUAAACCCUUAUAAAAUGGGACACUUCGACCACCAACGGCAUUCAGAAUUUGUUAACAAUUUUCCUUAAGUGGGAGGUAUUUAUAAGUUUAAGAACUUAAGUGUCCCAUUUUAAAGUUUAGAGACUGAAGUGGGUAAUCGUCCAAAAUUUGGGAGGACAAAGUGAAAUUAACCCUAAUUUGAUCUACAUGAGACAUAGGGUCAAUGGUCGGGGAAAUAGCUACAACGGAUCGAAAUUUUCUUGGAUCCAAUGCUGAAUCCUCAUUAAAUUGCAUCAUUAGAAUUGAGCCAGCUUCUAGUAUCUUUAGCUAGGGUGUCAGUUCAUCCUUCUUGAUCUUUUCCCUUCAUCCCAUGGUCCAAAUAGUUCUGAUCAUCCCUUGAACGUUGCCAUAUUUCUAAAAUCUAAAAAAUGCACAUUUUACUAUCAAAUUGAAUACUUUUACCUCAUUUCCUCAAUCGAAAAACUUUAGUACAGAAUCAACCAAAAUACUUAGUAAUCUAUCACAAAAAAUAAAAAGAAUAAAAAAAUACAUAGUUAUACAAAAAAAUAUGCAAAGCAUAUAUCUGUAGCAUCUAUAGCCUAUAAGCCAGCCAAAUUAUGCUGGAAUAGUAUCAACUCUUUUGUAUAAUAAUUCACUAUGUUUAUGUUUUGCAAUGUUAUCCUUUUAAUGUUCAAUUUCCACCUGUAUUUUUACUGUAUGCAUUUGGUAAGCCUUAAGUUUCCAAUCCUCAAUCUUUGAACUCUCAUUACUUGGUUUUUACGAGUUUGUAAUGACGUGGAAUUAUGCAAAAAAAAAAAAUUUGAAUAUUUUCUCCAAUAUAUAUGUAUUUGUAAAUAUAUGCGCAUACAUAUUUAUUUAUGUGUAUGUGUAUAUACACACUUAUAUACAUAUUUGCAUACAUGCAUAGAAAUAUGCAUACACUCAUUUAUAUAUUUAUAUAUAUAUAUAUGGAAAAUUGCAGAAACCUCCCCUGAGAUUUCUAACACUUGCACUGAGCUCCCCUGUGGUUUAAAAAAUUGCAUUGACCUCCCCUGAACUUACUAAUCCUUUGCAAAUUCAGUCCAAACGAUUAAAAUAUUGUUUUAGGGAGUGAAAUUAGAAUUUUGUAUCAGAUUUGCCCUUUGUGCUACAUAUCAAAUGAAUGACAAAGUAUUACAAAUCAAUUAACAAUUAAUAAACUUUAAAGGGUGUAGUUUAUAGGCAAAUACGCAUUACCUAUUUAAAGUACCAGCUCUUUAUGGGUAUUUUACUUUCAAACAUUUAAUUUAUGAUAAAUAUAUUAAUGUUUGUAAGUAAAAUUUAAAAAGUGUUACAGUAAAAUUCUUACAAAAAGGAAAUCAGUAGGUUAUCUAUUUAAUAUAAAUUAAAAUUUUUUAAAAAAAGAAAUGGCCCAUAAAGUAUUAAUUCUUUAUGGCUUUCAUCCAUUAGAUAGGUAAAGUAUUGGCUCUUUAUGGGCAUUUUAUUCUGAAUCAUUUAAUUUAUGUUAAAUACAUAAAUGUUUGUAACUAAAAUUGAAAAAGUGUUACAUUAAUAUUUUUACGGAAGGGAAACUGAUAGGUUUUGUAUUUAACAAAAAUUAAAUAUUUGAGAGUUAAUACAAAUUUAAAUAGGAAAGAGGAAAGAGCUUUCAGUCUUGUCAAUCAAAGGAAAGAGGAAAAAGGGCAUUCUUUGGGAGGUCUGCAGAGAAGAGUUGAAGCUCCCAAAUUGCAAGGACAAGGAAGAAGGUCAGCAAGAUACAACGGUGCAUUUGAUUUUAAAAGAAGGGCAAUAUCGUCAAAUCAUACAACCCACAUUGAGCCCAUCACCCAACACCUGUCAUCAAUCAAACCAUCACCUAACGUCAUAAGCUCACUCAGCUGGCAAGCUGCUGACCAGAGAAAUGGUACCCACACUACAGAGAAACGAUCUCUUCUCAAAACCGAAGGUCCUCACCUUCUUCUCUCGGACAAAGAAAGAAUUCCACUUCUCCUCCUCCUGGCGAAAGCACGCGAGCCUCGCGUGAAUGACGACCAAACUCCAGGCAAUAAGAUGCAGCCACGUCAGCACAAUAACCACCAUCUUUAGAAAACCCAUUCGUGCUUUUACUAUAUAGGUAGAUAAUAAUACUUAACCCCCAAUUGUUAAUUAACCUGAAUCAGACUACUACCACAAAAGUUUGUAAUUUUUUGAGUAAAUUAUCAGACAGAGUGUUCUUGUAGGAUCCUUUGCAACCCAUUGUUAUGACAGAAGGGGAAUUCACUUGUUCUUAUGUCAUUUCCAAACAACCAGAUCAUAUCAACAAACCCUAAACCUAAUAAACACUCUGGUUAAAUACUUCAUUAUACUCAUAACACAUACAACAUGAUUAAUCAAACAUUAACCAAAUCUAUAAGGGUGGGAUUGUAAGAUUUCUUGCGGUAUAGUGUGUAUAUAUCAAUGAACUCAUCCCUUUGCCUUUUGACCCACUUUGCUACCAUUGAUCACCUAUGCUUCACUACGAAUCUUCGUUUUCAGCCAAUGCUUUGAUUUUCCUCACUGAUUACUUUAAUUUUGCUAGAUUAAUGCAGCAACUUUUCUCAUCGAUUAUUUGCUUUAUCGAAAAUUUUACCAACAUUCUAAAUCAUACUCACCCCACUCUUGUCCUUUCCAUGCCACAAAAAACUGUGCAGAUGAAAUUAUACGUCGAAAAGUUGCUUUCUGUUUCUGCUACUGGCAUAAAUAAAUGGAGUGGCCUAAAUGGUACAGAUUUUCUAGUUCAGUGACAUUUUUUGCUAAUAAAAAAGUUUGAUGAUCAAAAGCGGUACAUUGUAAUAGUUUAGCAACAUUUCGUGCAAUUUACUCUUUUAUAUAUAGGAUAAUGAAGAUGCCCCACAAAUAAAUUGUAUUGUUCAUAUGUCAUGAACUCCGUAUCUUUUGACCAAAAAAAUAGACAAAACAACCCAAUUGAUCCUCUUAGGUGUUUAAUAAUUAAACUAAUUCUUAAACACCUAAUAUAAUGUAUUGUUCAUAUGUCAUGAACUCCGUAUCUUUUGACCAAAACAAUAGACAAAACAACCCAAUUGAUCCUCUUAGGUGUUUAAUAUUUAAACUAAUACAAAAAAUAGUACAAUAGAUUCAAAUGAUAUUCUAAAAAAGUUAUUGACCAAUGAUACAUAUUGCUCGAUUGUUUACAUACUUUAUUAGAAGUCCACUAACUCAACCCAUUUCACAACUUUAUGAUGGUGUUACUGAUGGCCUUGGUUAAAAUCCAUCAAUGAAUCAUUAACCCAUGAACUGAAAGGGCUAUUAUCCAGAACAAUAAGCAAAUUUGCUUGAUUUUGGAAUUAAAAAACAAUUAUAACAUUUGCCAUCUAUGGGACAGUACCUCUACUUGAAAGCUUCUCUAUAAAUCUUCAUUUAUGAAAUGUUAAAAUGUCUCAAAUCCACAAAAAAAAAAAAAAACCAAAAGACAGUUGUCAAACUAAGGGUACAUUUGAUAACACUAGAGUUUGAAACUAAAUUUUGAAAUCUGAAGUUUGAAUCUAUUAAGUUAUUGAAUUGUUAAGCACAAAAUCUGAUAUAUUUAAGUGUAUAUCACAUUAAGUGAUAAGUGAAUAGGUCAUCACAUAUUUUUGAGAGCAAGUUUUUCUUAAAAAAUUCCGUGCCACUUAAUAAAUUUAGAUGUUCAAUUUUUUGUUAUCAAAUGCAUCUGAACAUGAUGUGAAUCUAUUAACUUUAAGUACUAAAUUGACUUAUUAAACAGGUUCUAAGGAUAUAUUGUAGGAGAUCUAGCAUGAGCAAUGAAUCAUAGGGCCUUCAAAGAGGAGUAUGACAUAAUCAAAUGCUUUUUAAUUAAUUGAUCAAACAUGCUUAUGUUCACAACAAUAUAUGUUUGUGGAUAAUUUAAAUAAGUUAACCCUUCCCUAACAAAUAGAAAACAUGUCUAAAUAGACAAAGUAGACAAGAAAACUUGAAUUAUUUUUCGUUAAAGCUCCUGAAGACAAAUCUUAGUGUUGACAUGUAGUACCAGCUACUAAUUACUAGCAUCAUUAACUUGUACAAGAAUAUCUUAUUUCAUCCUAAAACCUAAUAUAAUCAAUUGUCCGAUUCCAAAUAUGUGAUGAAUCAAUGUUAAUAAGAAAUUAACAAAUUUACAAAAUACAAUUAAAGAAUGAAGGUAAAGUAAAUCAAAAGCAUACUAAAAAUAUGCCAAUAAUAGAGGAGAGUAGAAAUGCUAAAAAGAGCCAUUCGAGCAAAGAAAUAAAAGAAAGGGAAAGAAUAAUAGACAGACAAUUAGUCCAUACAUACAAUAUUUUCCUUAAUUGCACCAUACAAUGCAUAGAUAUAGUACAAACCAUAAAUGUAUACCCACAUAGACAUCACUUUCUUCCCCUCUCUCUUUCUCUCCAUAUGAUAUAUAGUUAGAUAUUCAUGUAAAAAUGCAUAUACACAGAUACAACCUAAGUACAUACCAUAUUCAUAUUAGAAAGUUUACAUGUUAGGGAAAUAAUGCUCUUCCAAUUAAUCUUGUUUAUAUUUUGAAUAGACAAAGACGUUAAAUAAAUAUGGUGUACACUAAAGUAAGUGAUGGUGAAAUGAUUGCUAAGUUGCAAUUUUAUUACAAUGUACCAAAUAAUUCUACCAAAAUUUACAUGACAUUAUUAGAAUUCUUGAAAUUUUCUUGAAUGUGAACAAGAAGAUAUUGCUUUCAUAGGCAACAAUAAACACCACACAGGCAAUUAUCCUUGCUGAGGCACUCCCCAAAUAAGGUGGUGUUAUAAUUUUGAGCACAAAGGAUCAUGCAUGGCCCGGCAUCACACCCUUCCAUUUUCUUUUCAAUGUAGCAUAGCAUCCAUGUUUUUUCAUCUUUUCCAUCCGCGGGCAUAACAAAAUUAGAUCCAUUACUACUUCUUUUAUGACUCUUAUCAUAUGAACCAAAAUAUUGUGGACAAAUUACUGAAGAUCUCUAGUGGCUUAAAGUAAGUUACCUCUCACAAUCUUGAGGGAUUUUUUUUAAAAAAAAAAUUUUUAAGUUAAAAUCUUGUGGGUUCACAAGUUACCUUUUGAGAUGUUUGGCUUGAACAAAAUUGAAUAGUAUUUUUUUUUGGGUAAACAACAUACAUAGGGAAUGGAUACUAGUUCUAACAUUUUUUUAAAAAAAUAAGAAUAUUUGAAGGAAGGAGGCAUGGAUAAUAAAAUUUAAUUUUAAAAUUAGUCUUGUUGGUUCAAUAGUUACCUUGUUGCAAUUGUUGUAAUUUAAAUUAUAUAGUAAAUUGAAUACUAAUUUUUUUUUAUAAACACCAUGCACGAGGGAGGGACAUUAGUCCUAAAAUUUUAUUGAAAAAAUAGAAAUAGUGGAAAAAGGGGGGCAUAGAUAGUAAAAUUUAAAGUAGAUUGACUUUUGUUAUAUUAAAUGAUACAAUAAGCAAUACUAGUAACUAGAUGGAUCAUUAGGAGUUAAUUAUAGAUGGAAAUGUCAUUAACUUUUCAAUAAUAUAAACACAAAAAUGUUAAAGGUUUUUAAACUCUAAUAUCGCUCAAACAGUUAGUAUGUAUUACCACUUUUGUUUUUCAUUCACAAUCAGUACUCUCAUAUAAGGUAAAUGUGCUAAAUUUAGUGCUUGAUAUUAAAAUGUGAAACUUUUAGUAUCUUUAUAGUCCAAAAGACAAGGGAAAAAAACUUAGUUUAAACCAUAAGCAUUACAUAUAAACCACAUGAAGAUAAUUCAUACUUUACAAUAACAUAUAUAAAAAAAUCAUUAUGCAUAAAUCACAUGGGGAUAACUCAUAACUUACCAUAACGUAUAAAAGACCAAAAAGCAUUACAUGUAAACCACAUAGGGUUAACUCAAAAUUUAUCCACAAAAAUAAUUUUAAAAAAUUGGCAAUAAGAACUGGAUGAUUGUAUUCAUCUAUUUGAAAAAGAAUAGCCACUGGUUUGGCUACUCAUUGUUGAUUGUCUGCAUAGGAGUUCGUUUCAUGACAAUUUCCAUCAAAUGAAAUUUCAAAGUUCUAAGAAGAUUUUAAGGCUUAUAAAAGCUGAACUGAAAUUUUGUAAUCAUUAGUCUGUUUUACUGAAUUUUGAAAUUAUUAGUGUAGUUUUGCUGCUUAUUUGUAUUGUUUAAUUUAUUAAAUGUUAACUUUUUAAGUGGUUAAACGUGUGUUUUAAUUAUUUCUAACUUUUAAUUAUUUUUAUUCUCUUACUAAUAUGACUUAUAUACAUGCAUAAGGGGUAUUUAUGGAACAAAAAUUUCAUCUCUCUUCUUAAAGUACUUUUUUAAUGUUACUUUUUUUAAUUGGACUAACUUUGUUAUCAAGAUUCAAAACCUUAACCUUGGGGGAUAUUUGUAUAAUUUUACAAAUUUCAGUGGAUGCCAGUGAAAUUGUUGGGAACCUCAGGGGAGCUUUCUGAAAUUAUCCCCAGUAAUAUAUUGACGUCUUCCUCCUGGUUUUGUCGGCCUCCUUUGUUUCUGUCUUCUCCUCCCCUUCUCUCUCCCUCGCGAGAUUUUGCUUUUGUUAUUACCCCUAGCUUGACCUAACUCCUCCAUCGCUCUCCUCCAGCUUGGCUAGAACAGGAACCAUUGUUAAUUAUACGUGGUAAUCAGUUUUUUUUUAGUUCCUUUUCAAUUAUGAAUCGGAGGUUAUGAUUACCACCAUGGUUCUCCAUUUUUUUUCUUUUAAUUAAGUUGCAGGUGCGCAUCCAUGGCUCCUGGGAGUAAUAUGUACUAAAUUGGGUUGAUCAGUUUGUUGAAGCAUUGAAAUUUGGGUCAUAUAAUUGAAUGCAUUUCAUUUCCUUUUCUGAAAACUCAUAAAUUUCAAUCGCUGGUUAUUUGUUCUCCUGUGAUUGCUUUAGUUUAAUAAUAUAUUCCCACACAUUUUCCUCUUUUGCCUUCCAGGUGUCUGUGUUUUUGCUCAAGCUGCUACAUCACCUUGGUAAUCCCAUUUUCUACUUAAAAUGCAAUUUAUGCUUAAAAUUUCCUUACGGCUUCUUCAUUGCUAUUAUAGUCUAGGUUUAGACACUGGAGUUGCCAAUUGUCCACUGGUGCUUGAUACUCUGCUAAUGUUAAAUAUUGCGACAUUGUGUUAGAUGUUGAAUUUCUCUUAACUAUAGUCAGAUUUUGACCUCCCAAAAACUAUGUUUAAUGAUGUGAAUUUGAAUUGUGUAGUGACUAUAUUGAUGUAACAUGAGGUAGACAGACUAAAUUAAAAUGAAGUUAUCAAUAUGGGAGUUUUUUUUUCAAUGACCUUGUUUUUUCCCUCAUCCUUUGUUAUAUAAUUGGAUUUUGGAUUUCUUCUCCAUGAUUACGAAAGAUAAGUUUGUUUAUUUUUGUUGGGAAUCUUCCAAUUCAUUUCCCACUCAUAAAGUGAAUGGCCUUAGAAAACCAAGUCCUUGUGAUGUUCAUAUGCUAGAAGAGUUCAAUGGUCCGGUGGUUGAAUUUCAUUGGUUCAAAGGUUUUUCUUGUGAAGUAUGAAAGUUGAUUUCCUUCUCUUUAUUAAUACUUACAUGAAUUUCCACUGCGCUAUUAACAUUUAGUAGCCCUUUCAGACACAUAUAACUUUGAAAAUUGGUUAUGGGCACCUUAACUAAAUUAAUGAGUGCCUGAGCAGAUCUAUUGAGGGAUCAAUCUGUGUGUGCCUAAGCUUUAAUUUUUGUUGUGAUUACCUGGUUUGUUUGAUGUAUAGGCUCCUUGGGAAGAUUGAUUAUUCCAACAUGUGGUAACGAUAUGAUUCUAUCUGCAUAUUUGUAUAUUUGAUGGCAAGAAUUAGUCUUUCUUGGUUUUUUUAUUCAGAAGAAGAACAAUGACAAAAUCGAAGUUAGAAAAGAGAUGGUAACAACAGCCUAUGACAAAUAAAUGUAAAUGGCUGAUACAUAAAACCUUUAAGCUUAUGCACUGAUUUUGGUUGCAGAACUAUUAUGUAUCUGGUUCGGUAGGUUGAGUUGCUUAUCUUCCUCUUUUUUGCACAACGAAAACUGAACAACUCAAUUUUAAACUAUACUACAAAUGGUUGGAACUCUAUUUUUUGAAGCUUCUCAGGAUAGGAAAAAAUAAAUUUAUGCCUAUAGACAAGCUAAGCACUCUGUAUCUUGUUUGAUAGCAGCUUUAGUAACUUUGAAGAGCAAACGUAAUGCACAAACGGAGUAAAUAGCCUGACUAAAAUAAUAGUCAUCCGUAGGCAUGAAUAAGUGAAUCAAUAAUUCCAAAUUUUGCAAAUGUAUUGCACCCAUGUAUUCUGUACUUGAAUUUUUUUUUUCUUAGAGGUGUGCUUUAGAGCCUAGAGAGUAUGUUUUUUCCUAGAUUUAUACAUUUUUCUCUUUGCUUUCUAUGGACUAAGCUGAUCAAUAUGAGAUUACGCAUAAUUAAAAAGAAAAGCAUGUUUGUUGUCAAUAUAUUUGUUUUUACGUCUGACAUUGAGGUAUGGAUAUUUGAUUUUUAGAUGCAUAUAUUUUGAUUUGCAAUGAUGGAUUGGAUUAAUGGCUUAGCAUACUAUGUUUGCUAGGGGUAUAUACAUUGUGGCCAAAUUGACAGUGAAAAAUUCCUUUGUCCUGUACUCUUUAUUUCGUUGAAUUUAAUUAUCUUGUAUUCUUAUCCAAUUGAAGAUUUUCUUUUUCAAGAAGCGCAGUUUGACAUUAGAAAAUCUACUUAUACUAACCAGGGCAUGAUAAGGAUACUAUCGGAAGUAAUGGAAGGGAAGCCAUUGCUAAUUUUGUCGCAAACAUAUACAAAGGAGAGUUAAACUUGGAUUGCAAUGUUAACUUUUCACAGUUUUUUGUACUUAUGUCUGAUUUGGAUUUUAUAAAUACUUAGACUAAUAGCAAUGAGCAUUAUUAUAAAGUUCAGCUUUGUAAAUUUCCAAGAUUAAUUGCUGUAAAUUGUGUUUAUCAUUUGAGAUGCAACAUUAUAACUGAUUCUCCCUCCUUCCUCCCCAUGAUUUUCCCUUCGAUCUCUUGCUUAAGGGAUAUAUCAUAGCAUUUUGCUGAUGCUAUUAAGAGUUUUAUGUGGUCAUUAUAAAUAACUAUAGAGAUUACCUGCUUAUUGUUUCUGUCUAACUCAUACAAGUUUUUCAUUUUGAAGCGCUAGAAUUAGAAAAUAAUAGUAUCUACAUAUUUUGCAAUUUUUAUAGACUAUUUGGGUAUCGCCAUUCAUUUGUGUGGCUGCCAAAAACUAGAGUUAGUCCAAAAAUGAGAAGACCAAAAUACAGUGCAGGUGGUUUUAGCUCCUAGAGUGUCUUGCAUAUUAGAAAAAAAAUCUCAAAAAAAGAAAGGAAACCAACAUGACUAAUUGUCCAAGCUAGAUGAGUAAGUGUGACAAGGGGGUGAUUGGUUAUUUUAAUGGAUUGAUAUUUUGCAUGGCAACUGAUUUUUAGUCUUGUAUAUAUAUAUAAUUCACAUUAAAUGCAAAGGCCAAAGGAACAAAUGCUGAGAACAAUUUUAAGAACAAAUCUGUAGGGGCAAGUUUGUCCAUAAACCUUGUACUUUUUAGUUUUCAUGAUCCAUGAAUAUGGUUGCCAACCAUCUUAUAUUAAUGUGUUAAUACCUUUAUUUCAUUGUGUUUGGUUCACAAUGUCUAACAUUGUUGUUGUUAAAUUUCAGACAGUUCUUGUACAAGAAAGGAAGUUGAUAUGGCGUCAUUUCGAGCUUUUUGGAACAGUCCUGUUGGCCCUAAAACCACACAUUUCUGGGGUCCUGUAGCCAAUUGGGGAUUUGUUGUUGCGGUAGGACUCAAUUAUGAAAUGUAAUUUGAAAUUGGUCUACUUAAAGUAACAAUUGAGCUUAAAUUGCCUUUGAUGCUCUGGCAGGGACUUGUAGACACACAGAAACCCCCAGAAAUGAUUUCUGGCAAUAUGACUGCAGGUUUUAAGCAUCUUAGCUGUUCUGUAACAGAUAAUUUGUCACUUUUGGAUUCUAAGUGUUAGGGAUUUUAUUUUGUGCAGCUAUGUGUGUAUACUCUGGACUGUUUAUGAGGUUUGCAUGGAUGGUACAACCUCGCAACUAUCUCCUUUUGGGAUGCCAUGCCUCAAACGAGACAGUGCAACUGUAUCAACUAUCGCGUUGGGCAAAAGGCCAGGGGUAUGUCUUCAGAAUAUGCAGUUUUCAAUUGUCUUUAGUUUUUUUUCUUUACUUUUCGAGGACGGUUAAAAGUUUUGUCAAAGAAACCUCAUAUGAAGGUAGUUUAACCUGGAUUAGAAGUGAUAACCUACUGUGAAGACAUCCACGUGUCUUGUCAAAAUAUGAUUAAUGAUCUAUCAUCUGUUUUAUUGAAAACGAUUCAUGAAUCCGAAGGUAAACAACAUUCUAUAAAAGCAUUUCUCAGUAUUUCUAUUGUCCUUUGAUCCCUGUUGAAAACUAUGUCCUAUGAUUCCUGUUGAAAACUGUCUCUCUCUCUCUCCUUCUUUCUGCUAUAAUACCUCUUGCACUGCUAAAAGACUUUCUACUCUAUUGAGUUGGGAAAUAUGUUCCUCUUUUCCCAUGAAAUCCAUCCAAUUGUUUUUCUUAUCUUUCUUUUUGCAUAAUUAAAUCCCUGGCCUCCCUCUCUCAAGUCACAAUGAACAUCCAAGUGUCUUGUAGUGGAUGGGAUGUAGUAGCUGAUAAGAACAAUGUUUGUUAUGACUGAUAUUUAGCUCAGCAUGUAAGCGAAUGGUCAGUCUCUUGUCAGCUCCUUGUAGCUUAUUGUUGGGAUGUAUAAUGACUUUUCUAAUCUUGAAUCCUGGACCACUUAGUUUCAUUUUGAAGCAACCAACUGUAUUGUAUUGACUGCCUGCCUAUUUCCGUUUGUGGACUGGAUUUGUUCUCUGUUAUACACAGUGGAUUUAGUGUUUGGCUUGUUGUCCUUGUAGGUACUUGGAGUCAAAAGAAGAGAAGGCUGCAUCCAAGUGAUCUGGUUGCUUCGGUUGCUUUCUGCAUUAUUGACUCCUGGUUGGUUCCUGCAGCUGUCUGAAAUUAUCUGUGCAUCGUUAAACAUCUGACAAGCAAAAUAGUGCUGGAUAAUCUGCCUUUCUAUAUUUGCCAAUUAUAUAAUAAUUGAUUUUGACUUUGAGUAAAAAUUCAAGAUUCUGAAAUUCUGGCCAAUACUUUUGUAUUGUUCCUUCAAGAAAAGUAUACUCUUUAUGCUGACCAUGCAGAAGCCACAAUGCAGACUCUCAACAUUCACAACUUGAAUUCAUGAUUUUUGUCUCUUUAGAUACGUUCAACCUAAUGGCUUUUAUGGUUAUUCCUUGUAUGAGUCGUAUCCUCCCAACACUGUAAAUAUGAAAGUUUCCAGAGUUAGGUAAUAUUAGAAGAUUAAUAAUUAAAAGAGUUAGGUAAUAUUAGAAGAUUAAUAAUUAUAAAAAGAAGAUGUAAAAGCCGUGGCAUGUAAUGCAAAAGAGAAGAAUCAGGUGUUAAACUAAUUUUUCUGAAAUUGUUAUUCAGUACCCUAACUUUUGAGAUAUUACUGUCAACCCAAAAGCUUUCAGAACAAAAAAUGCAAUGUCAAAAUUCUUUAGAAGUUAUAUAUGAGAACUGAUAUAGACAGUGAUAUGUUAUUACCAAUGUUACUAUCCUUUGACUUGUAUAAUCAUUUAAAAGACAAACAGAAUCCUAUUUUUAAUUGCAUUUGCAACCUUACUAUUUUCUUGCAGGUUGAAAGGAGUAAAAGAUGUAUACAAUCUUAUCUUUUCACAUAAUCAGAAAAAUCAUUGUGAGGGCCUUUCAAAAAAAUGUAUGGCGGCCAAUGACGUGUAUGUUAAGAAUAUUUGUUGAAGAAGCUAAGAAAAUGCCAUAUGGAGAAAAUUAAUGUAGACAGUCCAUGCACUUCGUAAUUUUACAUUUUGCCAAAAUUUGUGGCUUCGUCUUACCUAAAAAGAGAACUCAUUUCACUGAUAUCUAGUCUUUCUUCAAUUUUUUUUGCCAAGCUGUUAGAAUUUUCAUAUUUCGAAUUUGAACCAUAAUUUUUUUUUUUUUUUUUGCAUUGUAUUCCCUUGGGGAAUAUUAUAAAGACUAUUUUAGAACAUUUAAAGUCAUUUUAGAAAAGUUUUGGGGAAUGAAUGUCGUGAAAUAGAUUGAAUCAAGUGUUAUUUCAAUUUAAAUGUUUUUUUUUCAAGGCAUCAACUUCAAUCUGUGAUACAUGAAAAGGGUUAUAGAAGAGAUUUCCCAUCCUCAACAGCUAACUCUUCAUCAUCAAAAUGAUAGGAUGUAUUCAAACCAUAUUAUGCAUAAUCUAAACGAAAUUCGACAAAAAAUUCGUUCAAACUCAAUUCGACAAAUAAUCAAAUCAAAUUUGAAUAAAUUUCAAGUUCAUUAAAAUCAUCAAAUAAAUUUAAACACCAGAGUGUUCAACUUAGUUAAGUUCAUUUACACCUCUAGUUGCUAUAAUGCUAAAAACAAAAGGAAAUAAAACGUCGUUAAAUUCUCAGAAAAACCCUAAAGAGAAAAGGAAAAAUUGAACAAAAGUAAGUAUUUUGUUGAAUAGAAAAUCAAAUAAUCAUAUUCAUUAAAUACCUCCAUAGGCUACAUUACAUAAAUUAGAAUAAUGUUCCGGAUGUACACAUGCUAUAAUUUGUAAAUUAUGAACCAUAAGCACACUCAAACUUAGAACAAACAAUUGCUUCCGCGCUUACAUUCCCUCACAGGUAAUUUAAUUCUCUCAUUUUUAACAUAAUUGCCACAAUGGAGAAACCUAUAUUUCUUACAAAAGAAAAUCAAUACGCCACCUAAAAUUCGUAUAAAGAAUGAAAUCAAUAUAUAUAAUACCCUGCAACAAUUUUGCAUGUUGUAACAAGUAAAUUUACAAGAGAUUGUAUGAACUCUAGCAUCCAGCUGCUUUCAAAAAUUUGUCAUAUGGGCUUGAAGGUGGAAGUCUAAAGGACUGUUCUUGUACACACUCCUGUGCACAUGGAAGCUGAAUCCGACUUUGAAUUAGUUGACUGUUUGUGGAUUUUAUGUCUCCUGAUAGAUCCAAUACCUACAUGAAGUGAUCAGAAGCCUCAACAAUCAGCAACAGAAAUCUUGACUCACAAACUAGAGCCGUUGAGAUAUUGGUCAAUAUCCUGUAUGUGAGAUUUAAUAAACCUUCAAAUUGGCAACCGUUCAGCUGGAUAAUUUAUGAGUAAUCAGUUGCCUUCAUAGGAACAGGAGGAAUGUAGUAGGCUAAGUCUUGGGUUUAGGUUAUCUAAGAAAUGUACAAAUCCUCACCCCACCCACCCUGAUGAAAGGCAAAAAACCCAUGACAGUAAAUGCAUAAUUGAUGCACAGAGGCAAAACAUGUGCACAGAGAGAGAGAGGAAGGGAGUUUCACCUUGUUUGAUAAAACAGGCCCCUUAUUUUCAUUUUCACAUGCACUAAGUAUAGCCUUUGCUUCUUGUUGCACCUUGAAACUCUGAAGGGCCAGCAUCUUUUGUUGUUUACCAUUUACAAGGGCCUCGCAUUGACUCUUUACUUGAUCAUAAGGUAUUGGAGUAGAAGAAACUGGCAGGCUUGCAACAUGGCGAGCUGUUUCCAAGACCUGCUCAUGGUACAAAAUAAUCAUUGUGCAGUAGUAUGCAAGCUUGUGUCAUAGCAUGGUAGUACAUAAACAAUGAAUUGGUUUAUGAAGGCAAAUUAAUCUUCAUUUUUCCUCCUAAGAACUGAUUCAACUGUUGAUAGAGACUUCAUUGAUGGUGCAAUAGGCCACAAAUGAUCUAUUGGAAUGACAGUAGCAUGACUAGAAACAUAUAUCUGAAGGUAGUUCAAGAAAGCUGAAUUGCAAAUGUUGCAGAACUCUUUAAUAGUUCAAGAGUUUGUGGAAAACAUCAGUUUGGGCACCAAAGAGAGUGGAAAGCUGUAGAUUAGAUGAACCAAUAUCUCCCGUAGUGAACUUCUUCCAUUAGGAAAUAAUUUGAUCCUUCGUUUGACCGCUAUUGUGGUAAUCUGCUAGGAACUAUUUGCUUUAGAUCUUAUCAAAUCAUGUUUGGACCGCAAAAAUGUUAUAAUUUAGAUAGUAUGUUCCAAGUAUUAAGUGAACUUGAAUUUUUUAUCAUACCAUCAAGCAUUAUGAAUAACAGACAAAAGAAAGGAUCAAUUACCAACAAGAAGGAAAAAUUCAGUUCUUUCCUAUGGAUCUCUCUGUAAUGCUUCCUCAGGUUCCUAACUGAUUUUACCCAGAAGUGGGCAUUAUCAUUCAGAAAUUAACAAACGUAAGCAAAGAAAAACUUAGUAACACCAAGAGCCCAGAUUGAUGUAAACAUUUCUCAGGAAAAAAGACAUUAUCUUCAACUUUAAAUUUAGACUCAGAACCACUUGGUACCAUUGUGCUUCUGAGCAAAGUAGAGAAUACCAGUUUCAAUGAUACUACUGUAAAAGUAAUUGAUGCCAACGAACUCUUCUUGAGAAUUUGGAUGUUAUGAUUUUCAUUUGUGUGAUGCCAAAGUUGGUCCACAAGAAAAAGUUCCUAUGCUCAUGCAUAUUCUAAUACUGAUGAUUCUGCCUUGCUAAUAACAGUCUUGGUUUAGUAGAAGCAUCCGUUGUAGGGAAACAGAGUGAGGGGUGUCGGAAGAACCAUGAUGUGUAACUUGCUCAAGAUCUAAACAAGGUGUAGUAGAUAUAAUAUGUUUCCACAUUCUUUCUUGAACCAUUUUAGUUUUCAAUCUGCUUUUUAACUUUCUGAAUUUACCCAACUAGGUUAUGAAUUUGAAGAACAUCGACCGUUAUCUUAUUUAAUGGAAAUAUUACAAAAGUUUGCCAUCAACUACAGAAAUACUAACAAUACCUUCAAACGACAAAGUUAUGUGUGAAACUAAGAGGAAGUGAUUAUGAAGUAAAAAGCAAUUACUUACAGAUUCCAAGAGCUGGUUGACGCUAAGUAUGUCAAGCGAAUUGACAGACAGAGAUGUCUUACGCCCAGAUUGACUUCCACUUGCAUCAGGAAAAGAUUCUUCAUCGGCUAACCCAGCUGGUGCCAUGAUCUGAGAGCAAAAAAGUUCACUUAAACUGAGUAAAACACCAGGCUAACCAAUGCCUAAUUAUUUUUUAACUAACCUCAUUAAAUGUCUGAAAAUCCAUUUCUGCAAGUGGAGAAGAAGGGCAUGGUGUCUCCAUGAACAAUGGAGCUCCCAACGGGUACGCAUCAUCUGGUGAAAAUCCUUCUUGAAGUUGGCUUUUUAUGUUUGACAACUCAGCCUAGAAGUAGACAGAUGAGAAGUUUGAAGCAGAACGAUCAAAAUUAUUUUCCUUAAUACCCAAAAAAAGAAAAAAAAAAAAAGGACCAGUAAUAUAAAGACUUUCAACCUAAACUUGUACUUUUAUGCCUAAAGGUUCUCAAAGUAGUAUAUUUGCUAGUUUGCAGAAGUAGAAAGGUCAAGAAAUAAUUCCACAGGAAUACAAACUUAUCUAAAAGCUUAAGCAAUUACUGUAUUCAUCACAAUUUGUUUUCCUUUGACCUGGCAUAACCCUUUUACUUGAAAGUAUAAUAUAACUUGAGAUAAUUAUGUGGAACAGAAAAGUAUAGCAGCAUGAUUUAACCUUCAAUACUCCAUCAUUUUAAAAGGUGCAUUGAUUGGAAAGUUGCAGGUAAAUCAAGUUUUAAUUGACUUCAGCAUGAAGAAGCAAGGGGUCACCCAAUGAAUAAAUAAGACGAAAACUUUGAUGUUAUCUUAAGAAACUUUGCCAAAAGGGCAAAAAAGGCGUGAAUUUGAGAGCAAUAUGUUUUAGAAUUAAGUUUAGAUACACUUCAAAUUUACCUAGAUUCUCUUUGAUGGUCAGACACAUGAGAGGGUGACAACUUGAACCAAUGAUAUUUUUCUACUUUAGUUUGUAAUGAUUAUACAACUCAUGAAUCACACAACAAAUUAGUAGUACCACAGACUGGCCAACAUAGAGUGAAAUUUCUUAAAGAAGCCCACUCAUGUGCUUAAUGAAAAAAUGUCCGGAAAUAACUAAUUGCGUUUUGAGAGCAGGAAUGUGAUGAGUAGUAGUAAUUUAGAUUACUCAUUUGAGUUCAAGUCAUUAUUAUGUUAAUAUCGAGACAAAUUUAGCUUAGGGCUGAGCUAUCUAGCCUAGUAAGGUUCAGCCCAUGGUGAACAAUGAGAAUAUAUAUCCAAAGAUUUCUAUAGCGAGGUAAAGUUUCCUGUUAUCCAUGUCUACCCAACUAAAAAUAAGUCAGAAGUAAAAGCAGAAGCUUCUUCCAGAAAAAAUUGCACAACUAUCAGUUAAACUUUAUGCACAUCUCAUAGAAAAUAAAUUCUCUCCACAAAUUUAUUGUCAGUUUGGAGAUUGACUUUAUUUAAUUGACACACCGCAUUCCAUUCUCUUCUGGACAUAAUGCAUUAUUGGUAAAUCUAGGUAUGAACACUAAGGAUUAAAUAACUGUAGCAGUUAGCUUGUCUGCUUCUAGUUGUUUCUAUCUGCUCUAUCUUCUUCUUUUUCCCUCAUAAAGAACUUAAAAGGGAAGAUGGAAAACUAAAGAGCACUAAUAGAGUACUGAAAAGAUAUUUUAGGUAGAUUGGCUGCCGCUGAAAUUUUUUCUUUCUACUUUUUCUUUUUCUUUUUUUUUUUAAGAACAAUAAUAUGCUGUAAAAUGAUUAGUAACUAGAGUCAUUUGAAACAAGCUCCUGCAACCACAUUGGAAAAGUUUAAUCUAGACUGUAGUUCCACAUUUUUAGUCCUAAUCUGAUAACCUAAUCGUGUCCAUUACUUCUGCAUCAAACAUGUUAAAGUCUGCAAAUCCAUAAAUAAGGUAUCCCCAUAUCAUGACACUAGAAAAAUGUUGUGUCUUCCACUUGAAGACCUUGCACUCAAUGGAUUGUUAUCAAUGACUUAUUUAGUAAGCUGCAUGGGGCCUACUACACCUCAAUUCCUGUAUAGAUGUCUCCAGAAAAUUCAAACCCAAUAUCAAAUAAAUGAUACCUAAGCCAAUUGGAGUAAAUAGCAGCAGGAUAAUGAUAACUUUGAUUGCUAAAGUACACGCAAGCAGCAUAUUCGUGGAUAUACAUUAAUACUUGGGCAUCCUACCUAAAAUGGUAAACAAACAGAAAGUACACAAUGUGAGGAAGUAAAAUUAUGUAUAUUACCUCUGACAAUCUUCCAUACUUGGUCAUGAAGUGAGAUAUAACAAGUUCUUUUAAAUGCUGGUCAUUCGACUCAAUUUUUGAAAGAGACUUCAGAGCAGCAACUUCAUCAUCCUGUGAUCCGUAUCCUUUAGUUUCAUUAAUGACUGUCGUGGACAAAGCCUGUAAUCUCAUAUCUUCAACUAAUUUAAGGUAUGGAUCAACCUGUCAGCAAGAUAUUUUUAUAAGUCCCAUCAUUAAUUUAAAAAGAAUAUAUAUAAGCAGAAAAGAUUUUCCGACUUUAUAUUUGAGUCCAUAUCAGAGUAAAUGAUCAAUCUACUCGGACAAAAGUAAAUUAUUCCUCUGUAAGUUUUUUACUACUUACUGUUUCAUCAGUCAAUGAUGACUUAAUAACAGGAAUUAUCUCAGGAAGAUUGCCUGCCCUGGCCAAAAAUAUAAGCAUGUAUGAAGCCAGAGUAAAGAGAGACCUCCUCUGAGACGGUUGAAGACCACCUUCAACAUGCAGGCAAGGAAUUAGAAUGAGAGAGACCACCAUCCGAUCAAUAAUAAAUGGACUCAAGAGACAUUUACAAGGAGCAGCAAUAACUCGUUAUAAUUCCUUAUCUUGGUCAGUCCAAUCUUUCCUGACUGAUACUAGAGUUUAACUCCUCACCUAGUGCAAGCUGGUGAUAUCAAGAACAUUGAAAUCCAACAUGCGCAUGUAAUCUUAUGUGAAAUUUAUCAAAGAUCCAGCUACUAUUCAAUUCCACUUAACAUUUUCAGGCUAAAUGUUCCUUCCAUUAUGUAGGAUGCAAAAACAUUAAGUUGUAUAUCUGCUAUUAUGGGUGUGCAUCAUUGAUUUUGUGCCAGAGAGAAGGUUUAAUUCUGAGGACUCUAGUGCAACCAGACAAUGAGCUGCAGCACAACCUACAUAUCUGACAACCACUGGCUUGGAUUUGCCAAAUACGUAUUUAGUUCUAUCAUGAUCAUUAACCAUAUGGAAUUUUGACAUCUACUGUGUGUCAUAAGCUGUGAUAUUCUUCUCUCUUCAUGUUUCAGGAGGGCUCCAGUCUCAUAGGAUUAUAUCACUAUAUCUAGUCCGUUUUCACUGACCACUGCUAUAAUUAUGAGAAUGAGACAUAUACCUCAUUCAGAGAUUUGAAGCAUUACGAAUGAUCGUUGACAUCAAGCAGAACCCAAAAACCAAGAAAAGUUAUAUACAUCACGAGGAAAUGUCAUCAACGAACACAUGCAUGAAGAGGACCACUCUCACAAGAUAAAUGAAAAUACUCCAUGAUUUGCCUAUUGAAUAUUCAUGAAAGGAUAAGAAGGAAAUCAAAUCAACCAACCAUCACUAUUAAGAGAGAUACUCCUCAGAGAAAAACCCAGCUGGAAACAUCGGACGAGGGCCAUGUGACUGGAAUUCUGUAUUUGUACAAAAUGAUAAUUAAAACCAGAGAUAACAACUGUGUAGACAAAAUAAUCAGAAAAAUAGGAGACUGGGACUAUCUUUGAAUUGAAAAAAUAGCAAAAAAUUAGGUGGAUCUGGUAAUAUGAUGUACUUCAUGAGAACUUUUAAAAAUUCUGUAAGCAAAAUAUGCAAAUUGUAAUUACAGAUGAUACUAGGCUUCAGUUAUCAAAUAUUAGACAGAUUUAUGUUUUAUUUCUUCCAAAGUAUGAAAAAAAUAUCCAGAAAAGUAGAUGCAAAAGUAGAGCAGGGCAGGAAUGACACUGCUUUUGAAGCCAAGGCAAGAGAAGGUAACAUGUUGUACAUGAUAAAAGACACAGUUAUUCUCCCGCCCUUGUAUCAGUUAAUAGGAUAGUUAGCUUGGUUAAUGCACUACAUAUGCAGUUGUAAUGUAAUGCAAAGACUUGUCAUGUUCAACCAAUUUUCCCCAAUCAACAAGUCAAGGCAAAUUUGCAGGACUAAAUCCAGACAUAGUACAUACGCGUUAACACAAAGGUGAAACCAUGUAUUCGAAGUUCUCCAAUAGACCAACUUUCAGACGGUUACAUUAAGGGUCCAUUUGGAAUGGGAAGCUUAUGGGGGUUUUUUACUAGACUUUAUUGUAGAAGUAGUUUUUAAAAAACUAUUAGAAUGUGCAUUUUAUUCUGGGUGUUUUUUGAAUUGCCUUUUUGAGCUGCUCGACAACCUCCCCUCCUCCACCUUCACAUCUCCCGCAUCCACCAUUGUUGCCCCCUCCCACCACCAGCCCUGCCCUACCCUCCCCUCCCCACCCCCCCCCAACAAAACCUCUGUCCCCUUCAUCCCACCACCACCGCUGCUCCUUCCUCCUCCUUCCUCCUCUCCCUCUCUCACUUCUCUUUUCUCCCCCCACCACAGCUUCCCACCUUCAUCCCCUCUAAGACUCCUCCUCCCCCUUCCUCCUCUCCCUCUCCCCUCCACCCUGGACCAUAUUUGGUCGCAAUCAAGAUGUGGUCAGAGGUGGUGGAGGGGGAAGAAAAAGAGGGGAGAGGGAGAGAGAGGAGGAAUGCAGUCAGGGGGGGUGGUGGAAGGGAGGAGUGAAGGGGACAGUGUUGAUUGGGAGUGGUGGUGGGGGGAGUUAGAGGGUGGUGGGCAGUGGUGGUGGUGCAGGAGGGAAGGAAGAGAUGAUUAUGUGGUGUUGGUGUGUUUUUAGUGAGGUUACUGUAGAUUUUCUUAGUGGGGAAAAACUAGUUCUGGAAAAAACAAUCAAUCCAAAUGCACUAAGUUUGUCUGGCAUUGUUGACACAGGUGAUACAUAAGUCCAAUUUGUCAAUAAAAAAUUGACUGAACAAUAUAUUUAUGUAUCAUCUUUUUUUCAUGUUAAUUCUGCAGCUUAACUAAAAAGACAGGUUACAGCUUCCAAGUGUAAAUGUUACAAGUCGCCAUGUGAAAUUGUAAUGGCUUAAAAAAAUUCUAUGGCAUGCAGAAUGUUCACCUUUGAUCGACUGAAGAGCAGACAAAUAGCAUAUGUAUGAGCCAUUGCCUCGAAAUUUGCAGGAAUAUUUUCUGCCGAUGUUGCCUGAACCCAGAUGGAUGAAAGAAGAAGAUUCACUUGGUGACUACGCAGCCGAAGGGAAGUAAGCCCCUAGAUAUUAACAAGUCAAAGAGACAUUAGGAUGAGCAGUAAGGUUUGUGAAAUCAAAAAAGUCUUCAACAAAAUUUAUGUAUGUGCUCACUCAUAUCUUAAAGUUUUGCAAAACAUAAAAUGGUGAAUGGCAUGACAAUUAGAGGCAAUAAGAUGAUUCAUACUUCUUUCCCUGCUGGAACAACACCCUUGAAGCUAUGUAAUUGGCCUUGUGACAUACUUCUGACAGAUUGAUCUUCAUAGGAAUCUUCUUCCUCUGUCAUUUCUCCAUCUGAAAAUUCAGAUUUGGCAUCAUUUUCAUCCAAAAGGGAAAAGCUUCUGAAUUUCACCUUCCGUGACAUCUUAGGAGACUGUUCUGAAAGAGUACGAGAGAGAUUCCGGUCCAAUAUUGACCACAUAUUGCUAAGAGAUGGCAUAAGCACCGUUGAGAAGAUAUGGUGUGCCCCAGCUCGUGUUUCAUGGUCUGAAUGUGCCAUUGCCAAUAGCAAGGGAUGAAAGAGAGUAUCAGGAAAUGCCUAAACAAGGAAUUGGAAGCAGAUGUUAUCAUCAUAUAGAAAUUGAACAAGAAACAUAGCAUCUUAAUCUUAAUGGUUGUACCUUCUUAUAAUAUGUUACAUUAGGAACUGUAGAUACAAUUUGUGCAGUUCGAUGUACAGCAUUGAUUGUUGCUCUUGCAGCAACAAAACCAGUUGGAAUGCUCUCCAGCACCACACCCAUCAUAUCGAGGAUGGGUCCAACAUCUGCAACCUGUUAUCAAGGAUGGGUCCACAAUUUCAUGUUUGUCCAAAUUAUAAUAUGAAUUAACUGCAUGGACAAUGAGGAUAGCUUUCUAAUAAAAGCAUUCCACGAAUUUGAUAAGUUACUUCAACAUGAGCAGAUCAAUAGAAAUCUAUUAACUGCUUCCAACAGCUGAAAGAAACCUAAUAAAUGCUAGGCUAAGAGUGUCUUUAAAAAGAAUGUAAGGAAGGAAGCAGAAAACAGAAGCACGGAAGGCAUGGUAACCAGACUUUUCGGUAAAGCAAUUUGUGAUGUCUUAAUGUUCUUUGGACACGUGAUUGCCUCUGCUCCAUGUGAUAACUGAAGUGGUCUAUAUUUUGCAUUAUGGGACUAAAACACAUAACUGAAGCUCGGGCCCAAAUAUUACAAGUCACAGGGUCAGCUAGCUGAAGAAGCACCCAUGGAAGUAUGCCUCACAACAAGAAGAGAGGCAUUUCCAAUUCUUCACUAUUAUCUUGCUGACUCCAAAUACAAUAUAUCAAAGGAUUCCUUGGCUAUCAAAGGAUUCCUUGGCCCAAAAGGAGGAAAAAAGAAAUGUCAGGUUAAAAGUACAUGUACCAGCAUGCAGGGUCAAUGGAUGAAUAACAACUGUAAAAAGAGAAGCUAGAAGUACGCAGAUCGAGUUGCAGUAGAACAAAUAAAUGUCUAGUCAACCCUACUAUGAUCUAUGCAGAAAAGACAAUUUGUGAACCAAAAGAACUGCAUUAAAUCUUAGUCAAGACAAACCUUGUCUGCAAGCUGUGAAAUGCACUUUUCCAAAGCAACCUGAAGCUCGUUAUUCAAUUUAUCAGAACCAUCUUGAGGACUUGAAGCUUCAGAUGAAUAUAGUAGGCAUUUGCGCAGAUGUUUAACCAGCUCACUUAUUGCACCAACAAUUGCAACUGAUGCGUGCUGCUUUGCAUUUCUUGCAAGUUGUGUUGUAACAUCAAUGAUGUUUAUCUGCAUAUCACGCCGUUUGGCAACAUUCUUAUGAUCCAAGUGCUUAACCACGAUAGAUAAUAAUAGAUGGGAGCUUUCACCUGGUUCAGAGACAGUUGAGAGUAAAUAAAAAUGAGAAACUAUUACAAAAGAAACCAAGAAAUGACAAUGUCCAGUAGGAUGCAUAAAGAGUAAAGAAAGGUAGCAUAUUCUACCUGACUCCUCCAAUAAUGACUGCAAAUAGGCCAACACUGAACCUGCAAGUCCUUUGUCUGGUGACCAAUAAUUUUCAGAGUCAAAACGAUGGAAAAGAGGUUCAAGUACACGUCGUACAGUUGUUACUUCCCUUGCAGAUUGGGCUAUAUUCCAUAGACAAACUCUGGACCAGUAAGAGGGGUUCUUGGUUGCCUCCCUGUUUAAAAAAUAUUAAACGUAGAUAAGAAUGAACCGCAAGUGCAUAAAAGCUACACAUUCUAGAUGUUCUAUCAUCUUACAGUGUGGCCAUUUCCAUUUUAGAACUUGUGAUAUCUGGUAAAGAAGAAACUUUCUGGCUGAUGUCAGGAAAAGAAGAGUCAUGUUUAUCCACUUUGAGCAAUCCUUGGACCCAUUGUUCUGAGAGGUUGGAAUUUUUCUUCUCUACUUCGCAAUUUUCUAAAUGGGUUGGAAGUUCCAUGUAGUUCUCCAAAGUCACUGUUAUAAUCUAUAUCAGAUAAAAUAGUUCAACAUAAAGUUAGAAAAAACCAACACUUGCAAGAACAUGUCAUGGAUUGCUUAAAAUCCAGUAGAAGAGAAAACUCCAUCAAAUUACGAGGUAGAGUGUAGGACUGAGAAGAGUCUCUUACAUGGUCAAAGUCCAUCGAGAUAUGGGAGUUCUUCCCCAUAAAGUGCACCUAGACAAUGAAAAUGUAGAAAGAAAGAUAAUUAUAACGUGCAAGAAAGAAAUUGACUGCAAUGGUGCCAACUAAGAAAAAUGGCCUACCAUAAAGAGUUGCAGAGAAAAAAUUUUAGCAUUACAUCUUGAGAAGAUUUCUAGAUAUUAAAGUUGAGCAUAAUCAUAACUCUAUCUUUGAUGUGAAACUUCAUUAUAAUUAUCUCUUCUUCUCAUGCUGGAUACCAAAUUCAUUUAAUCCGCUUACAAAACCCAAAAUUCAAACCUCCAAUUUCUGUACAAUUCAGUAGUACACUCCAACCCUCCCAAAUUCCUGUUUUUCACUCCUUUCCUCACCUCUUCUCCUCCUGGAUGCAACAGAUAUGAGCGAGGGAACAGCAGCCACAAAUUAGACUAAUUAAUUGAUCACUUAGUUGCACCACAAAAAAAGAUGAACGUAUUUUAUUCUACUCCCUUUUCUGUUUCUCUUUCCAGUGACUUCCCCACUUCAUCCUCCAAAUUUCUCCUUAAACUCAGGUUGGUUUUCUACUUAUUGUUUGGGGGGCACUAGGGAUGAAUACCUAGACGCACCUCAGGUAUUUAAUGGUGCGCUAAUGAUCCCUACUUCCUUCCCCAGUGUGCCUCAUGGCGUUUUCCACAGCCCCUGUAAUAUUUCCUUUAAACACUCGGCAACCAUGCAGGCAUAUAGACAAUGGAAUUUGUCACUGAUGUUAAUUCUCAUGAAAUUGCAAUUAAAUAAAGCCUCAUUUGUAGGAAAUGUUCAACAUCUAAAAUAACAGGUUAUCUGAUAGAAUUAUUAAUUACAGUCAACCCCCCCCCUCCCCCCAAAGACAAGCUACAGCAUAAGCUGAUAGUUAACAUACAGAAAUUAGAAAUACCGAUAUCUUCCUUUCAGAAGUUAGGAUAUGACACCAAUAUGAGAAACCCCUCUAGUGUACUAUUGAUAUUAAAUUUAAUUUUGCUCCAGUUUAGCAGAUUCAAGGAAAAUAUAAAAAUAAGUACGAUGAAGGAUGCUUCUUUUCUAUCAGCACCACACCCACCACGAAUCUCCCCAACAAGGGAAAAACAAGAAAACCACAUCCACCUCAUACUCAGGCAGGCAUGUUUGUACAUGUACAAAAAAUUCAAGGUAGUAAAGGGAAAAAGCAAGUCUACCAAGACAGCCAAAACUUGCAUCCCUGCAGACCUCAAGCACAGUGCUCUGUCAUCAUCUCCAACUUCUCGAGCUAAUUGACACAAUUUCGGUAUGAGGCCCUCCAAGUUGAACAUAUAUGUGCCAUCCAACUGCAUCAAUCAGAAAAGAGGUCAAAUCUUCUUAAUUUGAAAUGACAACUGAAUGUAUAACAUGAAUAUAAGGUUAUUUAGGUCCCCUAUAGACAGUACUAUACGUUGGUUACCUAAUCUUUCUAUAGAAUAUACAACCAAAGAGUGCAUUGUGAAAACCAUUGACAACAAAACUUCUCUGUAAAUUACACUCUGGUUUUGAAUUUGUUCAUGAUUCAAUUUCUUAAAGCAAUUAACUUAUAGCCUACUUCAGGUUCAUUGCCUAUGCGUUAAUCAUUUACUUAUCUAAGGGUGCGUUUGAUAAAACUGAAGUAUGAAAACUGAAGUCUGAAAUCUGAAAUCUGAAGUCUGAAUCCAUUAAGUUAUUAAAUUGUUAAGUAUUAAAUCUACUACAUUUGAAUGCAUAUCACAUUCAGUGAUAAAUGAAUAACUUAUCACUUAAUUUUGGGAGCAAGUUUUGCCUAGGAAAUUCAGUGCCACUUAAUUAAUUCAGAUGUUCAAUUUUUGGUUACCAAACGGUUUGAAUAUGUUAAAAAUCCAUUAAGUUUAAAUGCUGAACUGGGUUAUCAAACGGGGCCUAAUUGAUCAACUUGAUGUUCAACUUACCUGGCCAUUGAUAAAGUCAACUAGUGUAUUGCAACCUAGAAUCUGCAAUUCAUCAUACUGUGGUAGAUCUAAAAGGGUGCGAACCAUCCCAAGCAAACUACUAGCAAAAAGUGGCCUGAAAAAGAUCCCGAUCCUGAUCAAGAUUAAAACUUUGUGGAAGGAGGUGAAGAAAGUGUAAUUCUUUUUUAAUUAUGGACAAGAUGACAUGCAGCUUUUAAGUCAAAUGACAAAACUAUCUUAAUAAGGCAGCAACUUCUGGAGAAAACGCGACAGUAACUUAAGCAUAUCAUUUCGCCAAAUGAUGAUACCUUAGAAAUUUUCAUGCCUUUGAAGAACCAUGAUCUGAGUAAAUAGCAACAAGCUUGAGGAUCUUAUUAACAUAGGAAGAAAUAUUGACAUACUAGCAAAGCAAAACAGUUACAAAAUCUAAAUAGAUAGUUAUAUGGAUCAUUCUGCACUUGGCUAAUUAAAAGCAAGAACUUAACAAGAUAGGUAAAUGGUUGUGCCACAAAGAUUUGAGCUUUCUCAACAACUUCCAGUUACACCCACAAGGCUACUUUUGCUUCUUUGUUGUGGAAAGCUAUGUUACGUGCAUGAUUGCACCCUACAUAAGUCGACAACUUAAAGUUUGAUUCAUCCCAAGCACCAAGGUUUGAUUUAUAUGUAACUUUUAUAAAGUAAACUGCAGAAGAAAAGGAAAGGAUUAAAUUAAUCUUGGCAUCCGCAGACCAUACCCAGUACAACUUCGAAAGCAACUAACAGAUGGACUAGUAGACAUCAGAAUACUAAAUGCAAGUCCUUCCCUUGCCACGAUCAACAGACUACCCUAUGCUAAGAAAAAACAGCCCCAUUUUCCCGUACACUUUUUGUUAGCCAAAAACCUUCUUCAGCAAGAAUCGUUGUCAAAAUCACACACAGCUUAUAUAAACUAUUUUUGUUUGCCACCGUGUCUUACUCCAACCUUCAUUCCCCAAACCCUCCCUGCCAUUCAAAAAAAAAUUUAUCCACAAUCCAAACACCAGCCUCCAUUUCUUCUCUUGCUUGUUGGUGGGGAUGAGUGGAGAUUUAGCGCUCCACAUGUAUCUUAAUUUCUAUAUAUCUUUUCUUUAACAUUUGAAUUCCCUGAAAGUCAUAUCAAGUAAUAUAUCUUUUAUGAUGGCAUAUUAUACUUUAUAGCUCUUUCAAAUAUAGAUAAAGCACGAAGAGUGCAAUCCUGUAUAUGACAAGGUAGUGUGUAAUAUGCUCUCAAAGAAAAUUUUCCUUCUUUUGGAUUGAAAGAUUUUAAAAACGUUAGCACUGCUUUAAAGCUCUUGCAGGAUACCCAGUACAAGACAAGAUGCUUUCUCAUUGCAUUGUUGUAUUUGCUGGCCUUCGUGUAACACUUGACACUUAAACUCUGCAUAUCGAUCUUUAACAAGAAAGAAAGAAAAUUUAAAAUAAAAAUGAAGCAAGGUUACAGCAACCUGACCAAAAAUCAAUUAAUGAGAACUAAAAACAAGUUCCAAAUGGGAGUUGUAGACCCACCGGCAAACAUUCUUAUUCAUUAGAGAGAGACAUAGAGAUUUUGGCAAAAAAUUACAUAGGAACAGUUUGGAGAAUAAAAUUUUAGUUCUUGCUCAAUACUGCCAAAGUAUUGCUCAAAUGAAAACUUACAUCUGUUCCUUACAUGAGGAUAGCAGCUUCCGAUAAAUUAGAAAAACAACUUUUACAGAGCCAAAGUGCUCAUUUCGCAAAUCCUUGUAAAACUUCUGUUCCAAGUUCUCUGUUAUCUGAAUCAGACAAAAUAAAAGCUAAUGUAGGUGACAUAGAAGUUGUAGCUACUAAUAGACCAUCUGACAUAGAAGUUGUAGCACUUGUGGAAUGAUGCAAGUUCACCAUCAUGAGGAAUAUUUUAACAACAAGAAGCAGCCAUGUUUCAGAAGAGGUAUUAUAUAAUUCCAGAAAGCAACUAUAGUUUUUAGAUAAAAGACAAAUGCAGUGAAGUACAUCACAAAUUAAUACACUGCAAACAAAGUGAAGCAACUCUGUUAAGUUCUAUGAACAGGCAAAUUAUGUUUGAAAUGAGAACUGAUACGAAGAAACUUAUGGUUGAGCAAGAUGGACCAAUAGAAAUCCCACCAUCAGAAUGAACAAAUCUUAUCAAACUAUUUUGAUCAAUCUGUAGGGGGUGAAAGUUCCACAGAACCAAAUAAAUGCAACAAUGAAGGUCUACAAAUAUAGAUUUUGUAUAUUAUGUCAAACAGAUAUAAUGUCAAUGGUAUAAACAAUAUUGAUGCUUGUAAAACUCUCUGUACAUUUAGCAUAGGUUUAGUAAACAAGAGCAAAUAAAUGAAUAAGGCUUGCCUUAGGUAUCCUCAAAGGAUUUUUAGAAGCAUACUCACAAAGCUUCCCAAUCUUUCGGUCAUUUGGCUCAGCAUCCUGCCAAAAGAGUUUCAGAGAUUAAAGGCAAAUACAAGCAGACCACCAGUUAAAUCAAAUCGUCACCAGAAAAUUUUAAAAAAAAAUGUGUACCACCACAGUGGACUAUAUUUCGCAUCAUCAUUUUUUUCUUUCCCUGUUUUAAGGUUGUUAAGUCUCACAUUUUACAAGAACAGCGUCACAUACCAAAUCAACUAAGACUUCUUUGGCAGAACUAAGCAUUAUGAAAAUUAGUACAUUUGCUGACAGAAAUAAAAUUGCCAGACUAAGAUGGCAACUGCACAAAAUUCACCUGUGAUCGGGGGAAAAUAUCAGCAAGGAGCUUCUUGUAUCGUUUAACAGGCUGUCUUGACCUUGCCCGCAUUGAAGGACAAAAGAAGCAGAGAUUACCACAUGCUGGUACAACCUUUCUUGACAUUACCCCCAUUUUCUUGUCCUUUUGUUUAAUAUAUUGCAAUUUCAAGCCUCUCCUCUGCAUAAUAUUAAUCCAAUUUACAUCAUAAUUCAGCCAAAAACUUCAUUUCACAAAUGUCCAUCAAAUAUUCAAUAAUUCACAAAAGCUUCUCCAAGAUAUUGGGUAUCCCCAAAAAUUCCAAAAGAAAAGGGAAAAAAAAAAACCAAUUGAGACUAUCAAGAACUCAAUCCCUAAGAAAUUGAUUUUUUCUGAAAAUUCAAAAAUUUAAAAUUUUGGAUCACUAAAACUUUAUAAACCAAAAAGUAAAAUAUCUUGGGAAAAUAAAAAGACCAAUCAUUCAAGAUUUCCAAAUUGAUAUCCAGAAUACCCACAUUAAAAUGUGGGGAAAAAGGCAAGAUUCAGGUGAAAAUAAAAAACGCAGAAUAAGAAAGAAAGAAAGGUUCAAUUUACACAAUUAAAACUGGCAAAAAAAUACGAAAUUUAAUAAGGAUUAAAGGAAACCCACCAAUUAAAUAAUCAAAAACUGUACUGUUCGAUUCAACCUGGCUCCUGCAAUGAUCUUGAUCUCGAGCAGCUAGUAUAACGUCUUCAGAAUUAGAUGACUAGAAGGCCUUAUUCCUUAAUAGCUUCAAAUUUUCACCUGCAUACAACGAGAAUUGUCAGCUAAUUAAUAUCAGAAAAUAAUGUAAAUUCAAUUAAUUCAUGAUUUCAAGAAAAAAAAUUAUAGAUUGCCCAUUUAAUUAAUUUGAAAUUUAAAGAAAAAAAGUUAGUUCAAAUUUACCUCAUAAACGUUAAGACUUUCGGGGAGGCAAAGAGGCUUGAAAUUACCCCCCUCGUCGAGGUUUUCCUGUCUCCUCUUAAAAUUAUAUAUUUCAAAGCCAGAAAUUAAUUAUCUCAUUGAUUAAUUAAAUUAAUUGUAAAUUUUCAAAAGAUUAUAAACUCUGGAAUAUUUUAUUUUGGUAAAAUACUAAUAUUAGUAGAUAAAUGGAAAGAUAAGUCUAGGGUCACAUGGGGGGUUCAGUAAAACGGGUGCAAGAAUAUUGCAUUUUCCUUCUUUAUUUUAUUUUGUUCUUUUGAUUUGGUUUUUCGUUUUGAUUCGAUUGGGAUGUGGGGCUCCAACCGCAGGUACUAAAUAAGUGAGGUCACCCAUCUGUAAUUAAUGCCAUCACAUGAAUCCUAUAAAUCAAUUUCCAAACAAAAAAAAAUUAGAAAAGAUUGUUGCAUGACUUGCAUUAGGAUCGAAAGAUCAAUCAAAUUAUUUAAUAUUCGAAUCGAACUUAACAUGCUAAGAGUUCAUUCAAAUUGGGUUCGUCGACUAAUCAAAUCAAUUUGAAUAAAACGUUUUAUUUCUAAUAAUAUUUAAAUUUGAUAAAAAUCUCGUUCAAAUUCGAUUCGACAAAUAAACAACUCAAAUUAAAAAAAAAAUUUAAUCUCAUUAAAAAUAAUCAAACAAACUUGAACACUAAGGUAUUAUAGUUGAUUAUGCUUGGGCACACCCCUAAACUUGCAUCAUAAAUAAUUUUUUCCAAUCUAUUUUUUUCAUUUUGUAAUCAUAUAUUAUCUCAUGUGCAUCACAUGUAUUAGUAUACUAUCCUAUAAAAGAAUUUGUGAAUAAUCUUCAAUUAAAACACUUACAUGAUUUUUCUUAUGUAGGGAGAAAGGAUGAGUUUUGGUGAUUUGGAAGAGAAAGUGCAAGUGAGAGAUCUCGAGUUCGAGUCUUCCCAUGUAUAAAAAAGAAAAAAAAAAAGAAGCAUUUAUCGAAUGGAAAAAAAUCGUGAUUUUUCUUAUGUAGGAAAGACUUAUCCUAUUAAUAUACGAAUUUAUAAAUUAUAUCCGUGAAGUCUUAAGUUUUGGAAGCCAAUUUAUUAAAUAAAACAUUAAGAGAAAUAAUACAAUGAAGUGGCUAUUGAAAUUUAUAUCAAAGAGAAAAGAAAGGUCAAAAUUUCUUUAAGUAUCAAUCUUCGUAUUUUUAUUUUGAUAUACUGUAAUUUAUAUUAAAGUACUUAAUCUCAACGGUAAAAAAAAUAGGUCAAAAUUUCUAAUUAUCAAUUUUCAAAGUUUAGAUUGAGUAAAACUUUAUCAUGGAUUACGCUUGAUAUUAAAUACUUAUAAUCUUUUUUUUUCCAUUAUCAUACACAAUUAUAUCUACCGCAUGAUCCACAAGUUAUUCAUACACGGAAUCUACAACCAUAACUGCUCACCAUUCUUUUUCCUUCCCGUAUUAUCAAAUAGUAGCAUUACACCAAUUUAACCAUAAUGUUUACCAUACAUCUUUACAAUAAUAAAGGCUCUUUAGGUUGUGAACCAAUUUUGGUGUUAAUUUUGUGUGUUUUCAAAUUUACCUUUAUCUCUGUCUAUACCAUAUAUCAAGGUAGGAAGCCUUUUGGUGUAAAUAAAAAAUUAUCAUCUUAUGAUUUUCUAAAUUACCCUUUAUGUAUAACUAUUCAUUAUCAUAUCUACUUUUGUUUCUUAUAUCUGCUAUCUUUAUCUCUACUGCCUACUAUUAUAUUUGCUUUUACUUCUUUUUUUAUAACUAUCUACUGCCAAAUAACAGUUUAUUUGUACAUUUUAUUGAUGUAAAUGUCAAUUUUUUUGUAUGUAUUAUAAAAAUAUAAAAUCAAAUAUCAUAAAAAAAUAAUUUUAACAAAUAUCUUUAAAAAAUUUUAAAUAUUUAUUUAUUCUUGCGCAUGCAUUGAAUGUACCUUAAGCACUGGUACAAAUUAUUGUUAGACCAAAUCAACCUCACAAUUUUCUACAUUGCAAUUCCCAUCACUGACCAUUGACAUCGAGGGCCGUCACUGGAGGACAGAGUUACCUGAAGAACCAGUCACGCUGCCAAUUUAGAAGGCAUGUGUAGUAAUGAUGGUGGGCUCAAGAACUAGUAAUGCUGGCAAUUGAAAAGUCACAUCUCAUCUGUAGUGGACUCCAUCAAUCAAUGCAUAAAUCCCAACACAACCUUCCGCAAAUUAUGGGGGACUACUUUUCUCUCCUCUUCCAUUUUUAUAAUUUAUUUAUAAAUUUUUUUUUAUCUAUCUAACAAGUGUUCAAGAGACCUCAUUAAUAUACUUCAUGAGUUAAUUUUUUUUUAAAAAAAGAUUAAUUAGAGAAACUGCAUAAAUGCAAGGGAUGGUAGUAAUUAUUAAUGUGUAUAUGUAUGAUAAAUUGGGUGAAAUUUAUAUAUGUUGGGCACGUAUUAGAAAAAUUCAAAAUAUUUUAACAAAUACCUCGUUAAUACACUUAAUUUAUACUAAAUUUAUCAUAUAGAUGCAUACACUUACAUUUAGUGUAGUCCUAUAUUUAUAUACUUUUCCAAAUUAAUAACACUUUAACCAAAUAUUUAACACCUGAUGCCCUAUGCAUUAGGCACUUGUUAGCCAAACUAUUUAUUUAUUGGAUUUUUUUUAACGGGUGCAUUAUGAGCACUUAUUAACACACCUAUAUUCCACUCAAUCUACCAUGUAUAUAUACACACACUAAUAAUUAUUAUUUUCUCUUAUAAUUUAUAUAUUUCUCCUAAUCAAACCCCUUGCAUUUAUAUACUUUUCCUAAUUAAUCUUAUAUUUCUAAAAAUCUAACACCUAAAAUAUAACUUAAUGAUAUGGGUACCCAUUUGACGGUUAUUUAUUUUGGUGUCUUUUGGUCUUCUCUUAAACGCGGUAGUUUUCUUUAUUUUUGGAGUGGGUCAAUCAACAAAUUCUCUGCAUCUUUUUAGCUUUUCAUUUAUUGGUAAUAUAGUCAAAGAUUUCACCCUAUUAUUCGAGAUUUAAAAAAAAUGCUGAUUAUGAGAUCAUCUGACAAUAUCUUGUUAAUUGUGAUUAGCGGUUUCAAAUCCUCAGUUACGGAAGUUUUCGGUCGCCCAAAUGAGAUAUUGUCACGUGAAUUUCACUAACUCAGCUUUAAAAAAUUAUCACGUGACGAGAUUAGUGAAUUUAACACGGAAAGGUCUUUUAUGCCUGCGAAUGGAGAUUUAAAGCCGUGAUCAGCACAUAAGUUGUAGUAUCAUAUGAUUUCUAGGAAUCUUUUUAGUAUGUUCAUAUUGGAAAUGUAACUAUGACAUAGUCCACCUGAGCGCUUGGAAAUUCCAAAUUAUUAAUUCCUUUAUUAUUGUUAUUUUUUUGGUUAGGAACCCCAACCUAGUUAAGAAUAUCGAAGAGAACUUAGUCCACUGUCUAAGAUAUAAAUCUCAGAAAUUAGAGGCCCUUGAUUUCAAUCCCCUUCCUCCCUCCCCACUUCUUUUAUAUAUGGGAUAAUUUCAGAAACCUCCCCUGAGGUUUCUGACAAUUUCACUGACCUCCCCUGAGGUUUCCACAAUUACACUGACCUCCCCUGGCAGAACUUGGGACCCAAUUGCUGACAUCAUAUAAUGCAAAAUUACUAUUAUACCCAAGACAUUUUGUGUUAUUAUAGGACUAAAAUAUGAUAAGGCAGAUGGUGUUUUUGGAUAGUAUUGGAUUGCAUUUCUAUUUAUUUAAUGUAUGGUUAUGAAAUUUGUAAUGAUAUUACUCUUGGAUUGCAGUUUUGGUUUGCACCUUAUUACUGUUAAUGUUUUAUAAAUGACUGUUUUAGUUCUUGGAUUACACCUUACCUCCAAAAUUUGGGAAUUUACCCAAAUUUUCCAUUUUCUAAUAUUCCUACAAAUAUGCAAAAUUAUGCAUAUCCCUCAAAUCUACCCAAUAUUAAUGUUUUGUUAAACUCUAAAUAACAAAAAUAUGAAAUAUAAUAUUUAAAUAUAUUUUAAUACACACAAGUUGGACGGGUAACUAGUGUGUCAGAGAGUUGCCAUAAUCUCCUUAAACCCGCAUGCGGGUUUAAAGAGUAUUUGGAUAUUCUCAUAUGCACCUAUGCAAAUCGAACCAACCGGAUAUCUUAUCCGUAUCCCAUUUUUUUAAAUAAAAAUCUUAUAAAUUUGAAAAAUAAAAUCAAAUUUAGAUGUAUUAGGGUUUUAAAAAUAUUAUAUAAGUGAUAAAAAUUUUAUAAAUUGUAAAAAUAAAAUCAAAUUUAAAUAAUUAAAUGUUAUAUUUGCAUAAGAAAUAAUACAAUAAUCAUAAUAAUGAUAAUACAAUAAUAUUGGUGUAAUAAAACUGCCAUUAAUUUAAAUAUUUACUUAUAAUGCCCAAAGAGCCUAAUUACCAAUUUUUUCUUCUCGCGCUCAAAUAUAACAUUAACCCGCAUGCGAGCUAACCUUGAAAUAGAAAAAACACAGAAUCCCGCUUGCGGGUUUCAACGUUAUUAUGCAGGCGGGAUUUUAACCUGCUUGCUUGUGAACAUGUACCACAUUGCUUUGAAUUUUUGUGACAAGAGGAAAGUUUUGUCUGAUGAAUGUAUUUGUGAAAUGACCUGAGUGGUGGUAGAUGGGUUAAUUGGGUCGGUUGCGUUACCCAAUUGUUUAUAUCCAUAAGUAAAAUUUUAUGAUUCCCAUACCCAUCCCCUCACUUUUUCUUAUUUAUUUCUGAUUUUUAUUAGUUUUCAUUAAUUCACUAAUAUAACUUGUACACCUACCUUAAGGGCAUUUAUGGGAACAAAAUUUCCUCUCUUUCCUGAAAACACUUUUUUAUGUUUACUUUUGUGGUCAUGGGCUGAUUUUGUUACAAAAUCAGAAACCUCAAGGGAGGUCAGUGUAAUUGUGGAAACCUCAGGGGAGGUCAGUGAAAUUGUCAGAAACCUCAGGGGAGGUUUCUGAAAUUAUCCCUUUAUAUAUUGAUGUUUCUCUUAUGCUUCCACAAGAAAGUUGGUCAGACAAUAGAAUCAAUUUCCCUCCAUCCAAAUGUUAUCUGACAUGAAUGUUGAUUGCCGAGCUUGAUUUUGUGGAUUAAAUAACUUGACAUCAACAUCUGUAAAUGUAAUACCUAUUAGUGAGGGGAAAAAAAAAAAUUUUAGGGAAUCCUUCAGUUACAGCUUGCAUUUUGUUUGCUUGUUGGCUGUUGAUUGUAAAUGUAAUAUCAGUUAGUGAGGGGAAAAUUUUUUCUUUUUAAGUUUCGGAAUUGUUUAGAUUUAAAUAAACCUAGCGUGUUUGGAUAGGAGAUUAUUUGAAAUAAUUAUUGUAACACUUUUUGUACUGUGAUAUACAUGAGAUAAAAAAAUGCCGUUGCAAAGAUAAAAAACUGAUUGAAAAUCAUAAUUGUGAUAUGAUGCAAGCAAAAUAAUAUUCCGGAAAAAUAUUUGUGCUCGUUCAGUUGCAGCUCACAUAUUGUCUGCUUGUUUGCUAUUCACAUAUUCGAUGUUGAUGUUGACUACAGGUUGAACUACCUUUAGAUGCCAAUUUAUUACUAUGCAGCUGAACUGGGCAAAAUUUAGGUAUACCCAAUUUUCAAAGAUUUAAUGGUUCAAAUUGUGUUAUACCAUCUUAAAGACCUAAUCUACCCAAAUGUGAUCUACUGGGAGUGGUUGAAUCAUUGUGGCAACACAUUUCGAAGGGAAAAAAAAUGGUAGGAGAUGGGUUGAAUUUGCGAAUUUGAUUCAUAUUUGACUGAUCUCUGUGUCGAGGCGCAAUGGAAAGUUGAAUCAUGUGCUGAAAAGCAUCGUGGAGAAAAUCUCAAACCUGGAAAUUUGAGGGCAGGAGUAAUUGCGCGAGUGUUCAUCCAGAAGGGCUUUUAAGUUUUAUCCCUGGACAACAAGCAUUUAAGAUUUUGCUAGAAGGCAACAAGGAAAUUAAUGUUGGAACUUCCCAUUUCAUUGGUGAAUAUCUGAAUUAACUAGUAACUAAAUUAAGCUCUCAGAGAACUUGUAAAAACCUAUCCAUUUCUCCACAAAUGGGUGCAACAGCUGCUUGAGAAAAACAGUCAGAAUACACAAAGUGCAUCACAGAAGGCCACUGCUCAAGCAAUAUGCUGUGCAAGACUAAGAAUCUUAACAUGCUUCUUCUUCCUCAGCUCGUGUGGAACGGGGCCAAAGA
rnacentral:lncRNA from 1 species